GUGGACGGACAGAGACCCAUCAGGCGGGGAGGGCCUGGGCGGUGGCGGCGCCCCCUUGGUGGGGCCGCAGAGCGGAGGAGCAGCAGCUGCCACCGGCCGGAAGCCUGCUGGCUCGGCCGAGAACAAUGGCCGCCUGUCACUGUGGACAGCUGUCUCCCAGGCUAAGGCAAGGCUGCGCUCCCAGGGAAUGCGGGCAGGGAGCCAGGGCGGAGGGCAGAGGACGAGAGCGAGGAGGAGAGCGCGGGCACCCACUGAUGCUGGCGGCCUCGGGUAUUCGCUUUCUCUCUCUUCUCCCACCUUGUUCCUUUUCCCCGGAUGCACGCAUGCACUAGUAAUGCCGAAUUUAGAACAACAGGGAAAGGAAAGGAAAUGGCAAAGGAAGGGAAAGGAAAUGGCCGACAGGAAAUGGCAAGGAAGGGAAAAUCCACUGCAACUCUGCUGCCUGCUGGCCUGUCCAGGGACAACUAUUCAGCUGGGUGGGACGUUGCUACCCCCUUGUGGCACCCCUGCUGCAGCCUGCGAUUCUUACGCCCUGUAUUUCUGGUCUAACAUCAACCAACACUUUGGCGAAAUAUAAUAAAAUGAAAUUACUAGGAGAAUGAAAGAAAGUCACAUGAAAUAAAAGCCCUGCUUUUUAAUGAUUAUAUCCUCUGUGAAAUGGAUCUGCAGCCCUCUCCAUUUCUGGGUUCCCCUGGCCACACCAUGCUUAUGGCUGUCCCAGGAGCAGGCUGACAGACAAGCUUCCACCAGCAUCUAACCAUGGGGCUCAUGGACACCGUAGAGCGUCUCCACCCAACAGAAUCCUGACUUGGGGGCAGCUGAGGCAGGGGGCCCGAGCGUUGAGGGGACCACGCUGCUGCCCCGAGACCUGCUGGCAUGCCACCUGGCCAACCCUGACUUCGCCUGCCCGGGCGCAUGUUAACUGAGUUACAACACUGAGGGCACUUGAACCUGGCUGCAUGACCAGAGAUCGAUCACCUGUGAGAUCCUCUGUGAAACGGGAUAAGCAUCUUUAAUUUCCUGGGCUGUUCUGGAACUUCAGUCAGACAGGACACAGGAGGGUGUCUGCACCACCCACCCCUGCCUCGUGGGCUGACUGGGAACUAUAUGACCUGUGGAGGGCUGUGACCGCCACCCUCCACCUCACUGGGGCCGCAAGCCUUCUCUGCUCCUUGAUUCUGCUGCCGUUGUGAGCGAGGGCCCCAGCACCCUUAGGGACCCCAAUCAAUGGGCUUCCCACAAUGUCGUCACCCUUUGUUGCCUGCUAAGCAGCCCUGGGGCCACCUCAGAAGAAACAGAACUCACAGGUCACAGGGGCCUUUUCCUCCUCGUCAUCGUCCUCCUCCUCUUCUUCUUCCUCCCUGGGCAACUUCCUGAAUUCGGAAAGAUGCCUGUAGUUCCAGCUACUCAGGAGGCUGAGGCAGAAGAAUUGCUUGAACCUGGGAGGUGGAGGUUGCAGUGAGCCAAGAUUGUGCCACUGCACUCCAGCCUAGGCGACAGAGCAAGAUGCUGUCUCCAAAAAAAAAAAACAGGUUGGGGGAGGAAUUUGGACACAGACACACACACACAGAGAGAAUGCCAGGGGAACAUGAGGCAGAGACCUGGGGGAUGAACCUACAAGCCAGGGAAUGCCAAGGGUUGCCCACAAACCACCAGAAGGAGCCAGUUCUGUCAAUAUCCUGAUCUCAGAUGACAGCCUCCAGCACCAUGAAGCACACUUCUGUUGUUUAAGCUGCUGGGUCUGUGGUCAUUUGUACAGCAGCUCCAGGAAGCUGAUCCUGGGGUGUGGGACCCAUGGGCACACUCAGCAGAGGAAGUGGCUGUGCGUGGUCCACAAGGUCCCUGGGCGGAUGGGGCCAUAGGAGCUGCCGGGGUGAGGGGCUGUGGGAACAGGGCAGGCCAAGCUUUAUGCUAACAGGGAAGCACUGCCAUUGGUCUGUGUUUUAUUUAUUUAUUUUUAGAGACAGGGUCUUGCUCUGUCUCCCAGGCUGGAGCACAGCUGUGCAAUCAUGGCUCGCUGCAGCCUCAAACCCCUGGGCUCAAGAGAUCCUCUCACCUCAGACUCCAGAGUAGUUAGGGCUACAGGCAGUAGUUAGGGCUACAGACAUCACCAUGUCCAGCUAAUCUGUAAAUUUUUUUGUACAGGUGGGGUUUUGCUAUGUUGUCCAGGCUGGUCUUGAACUCCUGCCCUCAAGUGAUCCUCCCAUCUCAGCCUCCCAAAGCCCUGGGAUAAUGGCGUGAGCCGCCACACCUGGCCGCCUUUGGUCUGUUUGAAGAGGGACAUGGCAUGAUCAGAUGGGGCUUUUAGGCCUCUCUGACCCUGGUGUGGAGGGUGGGCUGGCAAGAAGGGGACGACUGUCUAAAGGAGAGAGUCUAAGACCUGGGCUGGGCAGGGCCAUGGUGACAAACAGGAGCAGACAGAGUCGGGCAGUAUAAAUGGAGGGGCAGGGACAGUGUUGAAGUUUCUAUUCUGAGCAACUAGAAGGCUCGUGGUACAGUUAAUUACCCUGAUGGGGAUGGAAGAGUCAGGCAGGGGAUGGGCAAUGGGCUCUGUUUCCACAGCGACUUGUGUUCCACGGAGGUCAAGAGGCCUGAGGGCCUGCAAGAACAUGGUCUGGGCAGGAGAUGGAGCUGCGGAAUGAAUGAGGAUAGGGGGCUGAGUCCCACAGGGCCAGAGCAUGGCUAGCAAAGUGGGGAUGACUCCAGGAGUGGCCUUCUGGGUGCCACGAAGGAAAUGUUUUAAGAAGUGAGAUUGGGUCACUGCUUUCAAUGUCAUAGAACAGAGCUGAGCAGUUGAGGAGGCGUAGUGGGUAGAAAGGGAGGUCGCAGCAGGCUGAAAGCAAACCGACAGGAGGGUUAGCGUCUUUUAGCAGGUAGGCAGGGCAGAAGAGAGCCACGGGGCAGAUCAGGGAAAGAAACACUGAAGCCAUCUGUGGCUGAGAAGGAGGGCAGUGGGGAGGAGUGUCUAAAAUUCUGAGCCAUCCCUGGCUUUUCUGGGCAGAAGGGGUCGCUCCCUCAGUGGCCCUAUGGCCUCUAACAUGCAUUUUGACCCCUGGAAUCUGCCUUCUCACCCAGUGGGGGCCCUGGAAGCUGGACAACACACAUUCACCCCUGUGUGCCUGUCCCUGAGAGUGGGGGUCAGGGGAGCAUGCCUGGGGUGGCGAGGUGAUUCUGCACUGGGCCGACACUCCCGGCUUUAACUGGAAGGCGAGGACCUUCCAACAGCACAGGCUGACAGGUCUUGUUCCAUGGGGGCUGGGCACCCAAGGUAUCUACUGAUGGUCUGAGGAAUCUACCGGGAUGGAUUCCUGAUUUUUUUUUUUUUUUUUCUGAGACGGAGUUUCGCUCUAGUUGCCCAGGCUGGAGUGCAAUGGCGUGAUCUCAGCUCACCACAACCUCCACCUCUCGGGUUCAAGUGAUUCUCCUGCCUCAGCCUCCUGAGUAGCUGGGAUUACAGGCAUGAGCCACCAUGCUCAGCAGAUUCGUGAUUUUUAAAAUGAAAGGGUGACUCAUGGGAGAAGCCUCUGGAACUGCCUUUGAAAAACAACCAGCCAAGACAUGAGAAAUUAGUUCCUCUGCCAUUUGGGGGUUUCCUGCCAACUGCUGGGUUUUCCUUUUGCACAGCAGGGAGGAAGGACGCCUGUUUCCCUUGGUCCCGGUGAGGCCAGGCCUCAGCUUCCUGCCCACCCGCCACUGCUGCUGGGGCAGGGAGGCAGUUUCCGGCUGUGGGGACCCAGACAAUGCCUGGCCAAGGGCCACCAUCGUCCUCUUCCUGGACACAGCUCCCGCCUCAUCCCAGGGUCUGGCCUGGGACACGCCCUAGAGGCCCUCAGCCCUGAGUCACUGCACCAUGCAGAUCCACCCUGAUUCUGGUCCCUGCAGAGCAGGCUCCUACACAAGGCAAGAAGAUGCUCCAGGGACAAGCCAAGGUGUAUGCAAGGCCCAGGUGCCUGAGAAACACGUCUCACCGACCUUGGGGCAGGGGCUGUUACAAGAGGCUUAUAGUCUAGUGGCAGAGACAAAAACCACACUCAAAUCAUUAGUGUACGGUAUGCACUGCUCAGGGACUCAAAUAUGUGACAGGAGGCUCCAAACAAGAGCGGAGACAAGGCGUAAAUAGCCCCCUGUGGACUGGAUGUUCUGACUCCUGGAUGGCCUCCAGAAGGAUGCCUUUUACGGUCUGUGAAAGAGCUCAGGGACCAAGAUGCUCAAAGCCCUUCAUGCCCAAGAGCCCCUCCUCAGGCUGGGACACGGGAAGCAGAGCUCGGAGGUGGAACUCGUGACUGUGUAUGGGCACAUGUGAGUGCGUGUGUGUGGACAGCCAGGCUUAGUGUAGACAACGUGUGAGGCUCAGACCCCAAGUGCUGACUACACCUAUGCACAUCCACACCUGCGUGUGAAAGAAGAUGCUAGAAAAGAACAAAAAUAACUUAAAAAAUAAAUCCAAUAAGAUGGCUGGAACAUAUAACAACUUCAAAUACUCCAUUUUAGUUCACCAUGUAAGGUGGGUUCCUGGGGGCUGAGGAGACUCGGGAGCUCUGCACCCCUCCUGCUCGCACCCAUCACUAGGUGGCUCACACAGCAGCCGCUCAACAAGUCUGGCUGCUCUCGCAUCAAAACCAAAACCCACUGCCCUCCCCUGCGCCCCCAGCACUGACCCCAACACUUUGGUUCGGGGCCCUCCUGGGCAGGUCACCUGCACUGCCUACUCACUCCUCAGCCCUCCAGGCCCUCCCACCUUGGAUCCUUCCCUGGGACCCUGCUCUGCGCCCUUCUCCCCCUGCCCAGGAACUGAAGGCUGAUGUUGUCACCCCGGUGCUGCGGCCUGUCCGUCUUCAGCACCUGUGCCCCACGCAGGCCCAGCAAACCCCUGGGCUCUGUUGUUCCCCGGGAUGGCUUUUCCAUCUGAUCCCCAGCUUGGGGCUGGCACCGCUUGGCUUUGCCCGGUCACCUCAUGCUUGGGCCAAAGUGCACCAACCCUUCUGUCCCGGGCCUGGCUUUUUGCCUCAAGGCAGCAAUGGCCCCAUGCCACCUCCACGAAGACCCAGUGGCUGCAGAACUCCCUGGUCUGGACUCCCCUGCUCCCUGCAGAGUGCCACCUGCUCCUCUCAAGAAGGCAGAACGUGAGGCCUUUCCUCACCUCCCGUGCAUUGGCACCCCUGCUGGGCCCACUCUGCUCCACCACUGGGGGCUGAUUCACUUUGUGCCACAUAUCUAAAAUAUUUCCUCAAAACAAGCCAAUAACACCCUUUGCGCAUGCCAUGACCUCAUGGAGCGUGGUCACCGGACAUUUCCUCCUGAGCUCUAGGCAGCUGUGGGGGAUGCUGGGUGGCAUAGCCCUUGCAUGUGGCUGACACUUAGCAAUGUUUGUGCCCAUGUUGCACAGGGAGAGCACAAGUCACUGACUCUGCUAGGGCCUGGGGUCAAGGAAAAUAGGCCCUUGGUGGGUGUCAGGAACAGAGUUGAUUCGCUGCAAGGGGCAAAGGAAGUGCACACUUGGGGGAUACUGAGGCAGCCACCGAGGAUGGUGGCUCUGUCAGAGGGAGCUAUGGCUGAGGGCCUGUCAUGGCUUCAGGUGAUAUUUCAGGUGAUUUGGGUGAUGCUGGGACUGGGGACCAUGCGCACAUCCCCUCAGCAAGGGACUAGGUUCACAGAAACAGCACGCGGCCCACCAGCCUGCUCACCUCCAUGAGCUGUCCCCUGUGCCAGACAGACAGCCUAACUCCAAGACCCUGUCUGAGCAGAGAGGGUUCGAGAAAAGACCUUGUCCUUCACCAUCUUUCAUGGGACAAAUGCUUCCAGAAUGAAUGAAUAAAUGAAGGGGAGGGCAAGGGUCUUCCAAGGAAAGGACCUCUGAGUUCAGCCUAGGCGACAGCUACACACUGUCUGCCGGUGGACACCCAACUCUCUAUCUUCCCCGAAAUCUGCUCGGCUAGUUGUGCUACCUCUCUGUGCCUCAGCUUCCUCACCUGUGGAAGGGGGACAGUGCCAGCUAUCUCUCAGAUCGUGGUGGCUGGGGUGCCAUGUGGCUCUGCCACUCCUUGACUGUAAGGCCUCAGGCCAGCCUCUUCAUCUACCCACCUCUGCCUCCUCGUCCAUCACACGGAUCGGAAACAGGACGUACUGCUUAUCAGCUGCUAUGCAAUAAAUUGUGUUCCCUAAAAGGUAUGUUGAAGCCCCAGCCCCCUGUGGCUCAGAAUAUGAUCUUAUUUGGAGUUAAAGUCUUUGCAAAUGUAAUUAGUUAUGUUCACAUGAGGUCACAUUGGCUGGAGUGGCUCAUGCCUGUAAUCCCAGCAUUUAGGGAGGCAAAAACAUGAGGAUCCAUGGAGCCCAGAAAUUCGAGACCAGCCUGGGCAGCAUAGCGAGACCCCAUUCUCCACAAAAAGAAAGAUGAGAUCACACUGUAGGAGGGCAGCCCCUGGUCCAAAAUGCCCAUGUCCUUACAAGAGGAGGAGUCACAGACACACAGCAGGCAGGGUGGGGAGGUGUGAAGGCACAGACACACACAUGGGGAGAUGCCGUGUGCAACAAGGCCAGCUAGGAGGAAUGAGUCUACAAGCCAAGGACCUCCAGGAAGUCAAGGCCAGGCACUAACAGAAAGGCAGACUCUUCCCUGCAGCCUUUGAGAGAGCAUGGCGCAGCUGCCACCUUGAUCUUGGACUCUGGCCUCCAGCCCUGUGAAAGAAUGAGCUUUGGCUGUGUUGAGUGCCCAGUGUGUGGUGCUUUGCCAUAGCAGCCACGGGAGUUCCACAUGGUGCUGCAUAGGGAUCCGGGGCUGCAGAUCCCCGUGUGGGGCUGGACGUGUAGGGGAGCAGCAGCCACAUCCCUUGUCGGCCCUGGUGCCGUGCCCUUACUCCCCG
rnacentral:lncRNA from 1 species